rnacentral:lncRNA from 1 species
UGAGAACGGCGAGUUAUUAUAAUGUUGUGUUAACAUGAUUUUGCUUGGAAGAUGUUAAAUAAUGUUUACAUUUUUUAUAGAUCAAUAGUUCAGUUUAAUUUUGAAUCAGGAUUGAGUUUGUGAUUGGUUUUCAAGUUAAUAAUGUUUGGUGUCAAACAAUUGGCAAACCUGGUAACUCUUAGCAGCCUUUAACUCUUGUUAACUCCUGCUCAAAUUCAUCACUUAUUGCGAAGGUAAUAAAGAUGAAAAUUUUGAUAACCUUUUGAAUUUCAGAUGGUUAUUGGAAAUUGGUUUUUGUUUACAGUGACUGUGGUAAAGAGUGGAACUAGAGCUUUACCGUAUCUGUGAUUGGAUGGUGACACGAGUUCCAUUGGUUUUCCUGGGCUAAGCCUUUUACUCGUAUUUACACUUACACUGGUCAUGUUCAACAUUGAUCAAUUAGAAUUUCAACAUUGAUCAACUAAAAUUUCAACAUUGAUGCUUGUGUGGGUGUAGGUUGCUAAGUGUAUAG